UACGUAGGGGGCAAGCGUUUGUCCGGAAUCAUUGGGCGUAAAGCGCGUGUAGGCGGCCAGAAAAGUCCGCUGUGAAAACUCGAGGCUCAACUUCGAGCUGUCGGUGGAAACUUUCUGGCUAGAGUCCGGAAGAGGAGAAUGGAAUUCCUGGUGUAGCGGUGAAAUGCGCAGAUAUCAGGAAGAACACCCCGUGGCGAAGGCGGUUCUCUGGGACGGUACUGACGCUGAGACGCGAAAGCGUGGGGAGCGAACAGG
rnacentral:rRNA from 1 species